UUCGCAAUGCCCGAAAGGGUGACGAAGCGACGCCGCGUGCGGGAGGAAGGCCUUCGGGUUGUAAACCGCUGUCGGGAGUUAAGAAAUGCAAGGAUGUUAAUAGCGUUCUUGCUUGACUAAGGCUCCGGAGGAAGCCACGGCUAACUCUGUGCCAGCAGCCGCGGUAAUACAGAGGCGGCAAGCGUUGUUCGGAAUUAUUGGGCGUAAAGAGCACGUAGGCGGCUGUGUAAGUCGGUUGUGAAAGCCUUCCGCUCAACGGAAGAACGGCAUCCGAUACUGCAUGGCUUGAGUGUGGGAGGGGAGAGUGGAACUUCUGGUGGAGCGGUGAAAUGCGUAGAUAUCAGAAGGAACGCCGGCGGCGAAAGCGACUCUCUGGUCCGAAACUGACGCUGAGUGUGCGAAAGCUAGGGGAGCAAACGGGAUUAGAUACCCCGGUAGUCCUAGCCGUAAACGAUGGGCACUAAGUAGAGGGGUUUU
rnacentral:rRNA from 1 species